rnacentral:rRNA from 1 species
UACGAAGGGGGCUAGCGUUGUUCGGAAUUACUGGGCGUAAAGGGCGCGUAGGCGGCUGUCCAAGUCAGAUGUGAAAGCCCCGGGCUUAACCUGGGAAUUGCAUUUGAGAACUGGGCGGCUUGAGUUUCGGAGAGGUGGGUGGAAUUCCCGAGUGUAGAGGUGAAAGUUCGUAGGAUAUUGGGAAGAACACCGGUGGCGAAGGCGGCCCACUGGACGAACACUGACGCUGAGGCGACGAAGCAUGGGGAGCGAACAGG